UACGUAGGGUGCGAGCGUUAAUCGGAAUUACUGGGCGUAAAGCGUGCGCAGGCGGUUUUGUAAGCCAGAUGUGAAAUCCCCGGGCUUAACCUGGGAAUGGCAUUUGGGACUGCAAGGCUUGAGUGCGGCAGAGGAGACUAGAAUUCCUGGUGUAGCAGUGAAAUGCGUAGAGAUGUGGAGGAACACCGAUGGCGAAGGCAGCCCCCCUGGGCUAACACUGACGCUCAGGCACGAAAGCGUGGGGAGCAAACAGG
rnacentral:rRNA from 1 species